UUUUUAAAUUCAAAUGUCUUAACCCUUUUGUUAUCACUUUCUGAUUCAUUUCUAAUCAUUUUUUUUUUUUUGUAAACUUUUCCUUGCUAUUCCUAUCCUUGAUCUCUAGGUAUUCUUUUAAUUAUCAGAACAAUUUCGUACAUCAAAUAUCUUCUCCAUUCGUAUCAUCCAUUUUUCUGCCACUAAUGGAUUAAGUGCACCAUGCUUCUGCUACGUCACUUUGAUUCAAUAUCCCCGAUCACCCCUUUCAUCUCACUUAAUUAAUCAAAACCAGAUGAAGUAGGAGAAUCAAAUGUCCUCGUCCUCCUAGAUUCCUAAAG
rnacentral:lncRNA from 1 species